rnacentral:rRNA from 1 species
ACCUGACUGCUAUCGGAUUGAUACUAAGCCAUGCGAGUCAUUGUAGCAAUACAAGGCAUACGGCUCAGUAACGCGUAGUCAACCUAACCUAUGGACGGGAAUAACCUCGGGAAACUGAGAAUAAUGCCCGAUAGAACACUAUACCUGGAAUGGUUUGUGUUCCAAAUGAUUUAUCGCCAUAGGAUGGGACUGCGGCCUAUCAGUUUGUUGGUGAGGUAAUGGCCCACCAAGACUAUUACAGGUACGGGCUCUGAGAGGAGUAGCCCGGAGAUGGGUACUGAGACACGGACCCAGGCCCUAUGGGGCGCAGCAGGCGAGAAAACUUUGCAAUGUGCGAAAGCACGACAAGGUUAAUCCGAGUGAUUUGUGCUAAACGAAUCUUUUGUUAGUCCUAGAAACACUAACGAAUAAGGGGUGGGCAAGUUCUGGUGUCAGCCGCCGCGGUAAAACCAGCACCUCAAGUGGUCAGGAUGAUUAUUGGGCCUAAAGCAUCCGUAGCCGGCUCUGUGAGUUUUCGGUUAAAUCUGUACGCUUAACGUACAGGCUGCCGGGAAUACUGCAAAGCUAGGGAGUGGGAGAGGUAGACGGUACUCGGUAGGAAGUGGUAAAAUGCUUUGAUCUAUCGAUGACCACCUGUGGCGAAGGCGGUCUACCAGAACACGUCCGACGGUGAGGGAUGAAAGCUGGGGGAGCAAACCGGAUUAGAUACCCGGGUAGUCCCAGCUGUAAACUAUGCAAACUCAGUGAUGCAUUGGCUUGUGGCCAAUGCAGUGCUGCAGGGAAGCCGUUAAGUUUGCCGCCUGGGAAGUACGUACGCAAGUAUGAAACUUAAAGGAAUUGGCGGGGGAGCACCACAAGGGGUGAAGCCUGCGGUUC